UCCGGUGUGGCCAAACGGAAAGGCGGCGGCCUGUUAAGCCGAAGAUUGGAGGUUCAACUCCUCCCGCCGGAG
rnacentral:tRNA from 1 species